rnacentral:rRNA from 1 species
CCUACGGGUGGCAGCAGUGAGGAAUAUUGGUCAAUGGGCGAGAGCAUGAACCAGACAAGUCGCGUGAGGGAAGACGGUCCUAUGGAUUGUAAACCUCUUUUGCGGGGGAGCAAAAAGCGGUACGUGUAACGCAUCGAGAGUACCCGGAGAAAAAGCAUCGGCUAAAUCCGUGCCAGCAGCCGCGGUAAUACGGAGGAUGCGAGCGUUAGACGGAGGUAGUGGGUUUAAAGGGUGAGCAGGCGGCGAGUUAAGUCAGCGGUAAAAUUUCGGGGCUCAACCCCGACGAGGCGUUGAAACUGUGUUGCUAGAGUGGGCGUGACGUAUGCGGAAUGCGUGGUGUAGCGGUGAAAUGCAUAGAUAUCACGCAGAACUCCGAUUGCGAAGGCAGCAUACCGGCGCCCAACUGACGCUCAGGCACGAAAGCGUGGGUAUCGAACAGGAUUAGAUACCCGAGUAGUC